CGUAGCCUACCCAGGCAGUCAGCUUCUCAGUAUUGAGGAUAAGAAAAGUCAGGCUGUCAGGAGCAUGCACACAGCCCCACGGGAACAGCAGACACACAGUGCCACAUCCAAGGUUACACACGCAUGAUGUAAGCGGCUUCUGUUUCAACCUCACCUUCACAGAAAGAGCCAGAGACUAAGGCAGGGAACAGAUUGGAAGCUGCUGGUGUGUAUUUCUGUCAUCUGUUGACUAGGAUGAGGAGCUCCGGUCCCAUGGGCACAAUGACAAGAAUGGAGCUGGCAAAAGCUAGGCCUGGUGGGACAGCUGCUUGGGAGGCUGAGGCAGUAUUGUGGGGCAUCCACCAGAGAAGACCCGUUGGACAGGGAUGUUAACCAAUAGAAAGUCUUUAUGAGCUGACAGAGACUCUACUGGGUGUUCGACUCCGACUGUAGCCCCCAGCCUUUCUCAGGUGAGCUGUUAAACACAAAAGCCAUGUUCUGGAUUGACACACUUCAGUAAACAAGAACAGUUAGCCAGAAGCCGAACUAGAGAAGCAAAAAAGCAAUGUUAGUACAUUUAGAGACUUUCCAUGGACUGUGGACUUGGAUGGAUUACGCUUUGUUUUAGUUUUGGCAAGUGGUGCUAAGUGCUGAAAGGUAUGGAGUCAAUUGUGCUAAAAUCUGCAGCCCUGUUACAGUAGGAGGUAGGAAGAUCUGAAGUUCAAGGCCUGCCUGUCUACAGAGACCAUAGCUAGUAUGACUUAUGUAAAUCCCUAAUGAAAGGGGGUGGAGUCCAAAAUGCUGCUCAGGUCAGAGAAGGCAACUUGUCCUAAGGACUCUGGUGGGUGGGCUGGGGCGUGGCUCAGCUGGUAAAGUGCUUGCCUAACAUGCACGAAGGCACGGGUUUGAGCCCCACAGCCACCUCUAAGCCAGGCAUGAUGGCACAUAGUUGUGAUCUUAGCAUUCAGAAGGCAAAAGAGUUCAAGGCCAUCCUUAGCUGCAUAGUGAAUUCAAGGCCAGCCUUGUCUAAGGAGUGUGACCCUGUCUCAAAUAGAAAAAUAAGAGAAAUGAACAAAAGCCCCAAACUUAUUUUCUGAGAGUUUGAUAAAACACAUUCUUUGUAUCACUGUAAACCAAUAAACAAAUCUCAUUGUGGUGAUUAA